rnacentral:rRNA from 1 species
GUGGGGAAUCUUGCGCAAUGGGCGAAAGCCUGACGCAGCCAUGCCGCGUGAAUGAUGAAGGUCUUAGGAUUGUAAAAUUCUUUCACCGGGGACGAUAAUGACGGUACCCGGAGAAGAAGCCCCGGCUCACUCCGUGUCAGCAGCCGCGGUAAUACGAAGGGGGCUAGCGUUGCUCGGAAUUACUGGGCGUAAAGGGCGCGUAGGCGGACCGUUUAGUCAGAGGUGAAAGCCCAGGGCUCAACCUUGGAAUGGCCUUUGAUACUGGCUGGCUUGAGUACGGGAGAGGUGAGUGGAACACCGAGUGUAGAGGUGAAAGGCGUGGAUAUUCGGAAGAACACCAGUGGCGAAGGCGACUCACUGGCCCGUUACUGACGCUGAGGCGCGAAAGCGUGGGGAGCAAACAGGAUUAGAUACCCCUGUAGUCC